GCCUACGGGGCGCAGCAGUCGAGAAUCAUUCACAAUGGGGGAAACCCUGAUGGUGCGACGCCGCGUGGGGGAAUGAAGGUCUUCGGAUUGUAAACCCCUGUCUCGUGGGAGCAAAUUAAACAGAUAGUACCACAAGAGGAAGAGACGGGUAACACUGUGACAGCAGCCGCGGUAAUACAGAGGUCUCAAGCGUUGUUCGGAAUCACUGGGCGUAAAGCGUGCGUAGGCUGUUUCGUAAGCCGUGUGUGAAAGGCGCGGGCUCAACCAGUGGACGGCACAUGAUACUGCGAGCGUAGAG
rnacentral:rRNA from 1 species